AGGAAGCUGUGGGUCCAUGUAGCCAAAGCUUCUGUCGGAUGCUUGAACCCUUAUGUCCCUCACCAAAAUCUCCCAGCUUUGCUUCGGGGUCUUCACGCUGGUGCUGCAAAACUGACUGUUGUCCAUGCCUCGCCGCUCCCGGGCCCCCCUGAUUCAUCACCUUUAUUUCCUGGCACUUUGGAUGUGACGGCGGGUUGACCAGAAAUGCUCGCUUCGUGUCUGGGAUGAACGGAGGACUCCAUUCAGAACCCUGACCGGGACCACAGCUGCCUCGGGAUCGCACCCCUCUGCCUUUACGUCGUCGUCGCCUUGCUCCUCGGAGCAGGACCUGGGGGUCCCAGCGGCAUCCAACUGGUCUCUGCUCUCAGGGACUCAACGCCAUGGUCGAAGUAAGCACAGGUGUCAGGCUGGGGACAGCCCGAUCACGGACCAGGUGCCCUGGGGAGCCCCGUCCUUGGCAUGGAGGCCGUGCUUGCUCAGUGGUCCCCACGCCCUCCCUCGAAUGCCGGAAAUGGGAUGUUAUCCUUUUUCACUGCCUCCCCCAAGUGUGGGUUUGUUUGGGGCUGGCUCUGUCCUGUCAGCCCCGCCAGACUCCAUCAGGCGGGCAUCCCCGGGCCGCUGCAGGGUCCUGUCCUCCGGGUGCAGCCGUGGAUAUGAGCGUCCUGAAGACCUGCGCUAUCUUGUCUGCGUGACACUGGUUGUCAGAUGCUUAACUGAGUGAGCCCCCAGAGAUAAAUUCUAAGUGUCUCAGCUCCCACCCUUUAAUUCCAUCUCCCGGCGCCUUGGCGCUCCUGGCCUGUGCUUUGCGCUUGCGGAAUUCCUCUCGGUGACCCUGUGUUCUCCUUGCCCGACGUAGCACACCUGCUCAGGGUCACACGGCCUCGUGUCCUUCCUGUGCCCACUGACCUCACCCUGAAGGAGAGACACGCUCAGCAUCGGCACCGGGAGUGGGUCCCCCGGACCCACGCCACAGGACGCGAGCGGCUGUGGGGGCCGUCUGCCUGCGGGUGGGCUUCACAGGCGCUCGCCGCCCCUGUGUGUGGAGCAGCUGAGUGUCCGUUCUUCGGUGUGGAGCUGCCCCCUGCGUCUACGGACACGCAUGAGCGAGAAUUUGCAUAUUCCUUUUGCUAAAGAGAUCUUGAAAACCGAAUAAGAGAUGAGAAGACUUCACUGGGUGAAUUAUUUGAAAAGUCAACAUGAAGUUAGGGAAGUUUUUCCAGAAUUAAAGAAUGAUUUCAGGGUUCCAAAAUGAACUGAAGAUUCAGUUGACUUUGUUCAAGACAGAGGGUUUUCAAUGUGAGGAAAUGUAAGGGUCAUCUUAAGGUGUGACCGAGCAGCCAUUUCUCUGGGGGCUGGAGGAG